rnacentral:lncRNA from 1 species
CUUGCUCUUCUUUGCAGGACUCUAAAGGCCUAAGUCUGGAUCUAAGGCCACUAGGAAAGAAGAUUCUAGACGCUCUGAGCAGAGGCAAGAGAUUCGUAGAAGAGAACUGAUCGUUCUGCCCAGAGAGAUAAAGACUUUGAAGUCCAUCAGCAGACCCCAAAGACGUGGUUAACUAUGGAGAAGUCAACACAAGUGAUUGAGGAAGAAGCUCAGUCUUCUCAGGACUCUUCCUUUCCCCAAGAAAGGAAGACCCAGGAGGUGGGAACAGCUACUCUUCGACUGACAGCCAGGUCCCAUGUAAGUUGAACUUCCUUUCUCUCCCCCCCCAACACCCCCAAAAGACUCUUAGUUCUCAGAAUGUGGACACUUUCCCCCUCUAGCUCUAGCAUUUUUCAGUCUUAACAGAAAUUCAGAUCUGAGCCCUUAUUCCAGGAGAUUAACUAAGUUAUAGGAUCUUGGAAUUAGAAAUUCAGGUGUCCCAAUUCCAAGAUGCUGUCAUCCUAUAACCUACUUAGUUCGAAACUAUAACCACUGUUUCUACCUCCUCUUUGCUGCUUUCUUGUGGUAAAGCAGAAUGGACCUCAUAGAGAAUGCUCUCCAUUUGCUUAGUGCCCUCUCUCAGUUCUCUUGACCUUUCCACCCAACAAUUACCCUUUCACUUAACCAGGAUUCAGUGAGCAUCUAGCAUCUUUAUACUCUGUGUUUAAUACCCUCUUGUAUGUUGUAAUGUAUCUACAAAAACAUAAGAACGUAUAUUCAUCUAAAUCAAAACAUUUUCCAG